GGUGCAUCAUGUAGGAAACUUAAUCCCCUUGCAGCACCAAUGCAUGUCUUGAGACGUUGUCUCCACGUGAAAUUAGUGGAACUUAAAUGACGGUCAAGGCUUUCUUUAGGUGCGUGCUCGAUCAUUUGAUCACCCUCGUUACAGAAUCCAAGGAGAGUGAUGAGAUUUUCAUGCUUGAAACGGUUUAGUAUCGUGAUCUCCUUCCAGAACUCUAGGUCACCUUGGCCAUAUUUUCGAUCAAGACACUUGAUAGCAACCAUGCUACGCCCCUUAAAAUGAGACAGUUGUCCACUGUACACCUUGCCAAAACCACCAUGGCCGAUGAUUUGAAGAUCAUCAAAGGUGUUGGUG
rnacentral:lncRNA from 1 species